GCAAGCGGCGAGCUUGCUGCAUCGCGCGUGACCGGCCACGCACUUUAUGUCAGUCACGUCGGGUUGCGUCGCCAAUGCGAAGUUUGCAGGCGUUAAAUCGCCCUGUUGUGCGCUGCUUUGUGCGGUUGCGAUAAGUACAAGCAAUGGCGAUGCGCGGUUUUACUUCGCAUUUCGAGCGUGGUGUGCUGGUGUGGCAAGUGGCGGUGUGGGAUUGGCGCGGCGACGA
rnacentral:sRNA from 1 species